AGAGUUUGAUCCUGGCUCAGAACGAACGCUGGCGGCAUGCCUAACACAUGCAAGUCGAACGGCUCUUCGGAGCAGUGGCGCACGGGUGAGUAACGCGUGGGAACCUACCCCGAGGUUCGGAAUAACGGCUGGAAACGGCCGCUAAUACCGGAUGUGUCCUGAGGGGCAAAGGCUUGCCGCCUUGGGAGGGGCCCGCGUCCGAUUAGCUAGUUGGUGAGGUAAUGGCUCACCAAGGCGACGAUCGGUAGCUGGUCUGAGAGGAUGAUCAGCCACACUGGGACUGAGACACGGCCCAGACUCCUACGGGAGGCAGCAGUGGGGAAUAUUGGACAAUGGGCGCAAGCCUGAUCCAGCAAUGCCGCGUGUGUGAUGAAGGCCCUAGGGUUGUAAAGCACUUUCGCCGAUGACGAUGAUGACGGUAGUCGGAUAAGAAGCCCCGGCUAACUCCGUGCCAGCAGCCGCGGUAAUACGGAGGGGGCGAGCGUUGUUCGGAAUUACUGGGCGUAAAGGGCGCGUAGGCGGUGACGUUAGUCGGGCGUGAAAGCCCCGGGCUCAACCUGGGAUGUGCGUUCGAUACUGCGUUGCUCGAGAGCGGAAGAGGGUAGUGGAAUUCCCAGUGUAGAGGUGAAAUUCGUA
rnacentral:rRNA from 1 species